AUGCACACACACAUGCAUAGAUACAUAUAUACGCAAGCGGUGACUGAUGCCUUCCCCUGUUCUCAGCUCCAGCUCUCUGCACCAUUGAGACUUUUGUGUGUCCCCACGGUAACGUAUGGAACCGGUUCUGCACAGCCUCAGCACAUGCUAUCCCAGCCACAAACUGAGCAGCAGCAGCAGCAGAAGCAGCAGAAGCAGCAGCAGAAGCAGCAGAUCCUCUCCCUGCCUCUCACUUACUGCCUGUGACUUUAUCUUCUGCUUUCUCCCCUUCUAUACCCUCCUCGUCGUGUUGAUUUCCUUCGUCCAUAAGACCUUGUACACUUCAAAGUCCUGAGCAUGAAAGGGUGAAGGAAGAGAAAUUGUGUCUGGCAGUGAAGGGGAUGAGGCAACAGCGGAUAAAAUGUGACGCGUGGAGAGGCUGGAGUGAAAUAGAGAUGCAAGCCUGCAAGUCAAGAGGGAAAGCUCUAACUCAAGAGUGAGGAGGAGAGGACAGAGAGGAGGAAUCAAGUUGAAAUCAGAAAAAGGAACACGGGAAAAGUGAGCCUUGUCUUCCUGGUGCAGUCACCUGGUACACUAGCGCAAGGGAGCAAUCUCAAGACAGACUCAAGUCCUUUGUCGCCUCCUUGUCCUGCUCUCCCCCAUUCGCCCUCCUCGUCCUCACUGGUUUCAUUGGACUAUAAAUCCCUGCAAGUUAAUCCAACUCUAUUGUAAUGGAAUGAAGAGUCACUUCACAGCAAUGAUAAGGAAACUCUUUCUAUGACACAUUUAAGUGAAGUUUUAGGUUAGAAUUCUGCUCUUUGUGUCUAUAACAUAUUACCUUUUUAGCUCACUAAAAUCCAAAAAGCUAUUAGACACUAUAUUUUACUAUUUGUAGCUCAUUAAAUCACAGUCAAAACAUCCAUGACAUUUACCAACAGCUUUACAGUGACUGUUUCACCUAAAUUAAUUGUGUCUCCCCCGCAACUGCUGCAUUGCCGAGAUUAUUUGUGCCAGUUCUGAAAAAUGUUAGUUCGACUCCGAAAGCAGCUCUGUAAAAGAUUAGCGUAGACGAAAAUGUAGAAAAAUAUAUAACAAUUACGUCGCUUUCUUUGUCUUAACUGAACUGACCAGUUCUGUUUCUGAUCUGCAGUGAAAGGAAGUGACCGGUCGGUGCCGCAGAAUCCAAAAUGUCAGAUGAGGUUAUGUCUUUGUGUCAGUGCAGUGACGAUACGCUUCUGUCUUUUUGAUACGUUUCUGUAAUUGCUUGUACUUCCCUGUGUUUUUUUAAUUUCACAGUAUGCCCCUCUGUCCCUGAGACCCUUAACCUGUGAGGUCAAAGCAGGUCACAGGUGAGGUCCUCGGGAACAGGGCUGCAUUCAGUUUCAACGACGCAAAACAGUGGAAAACUCAACUCCAUCCGUCCACUAACAUACAGACUAUAUACAUAUAUAUAUAUAAAUAUCUGUGUGUUAGUGGAUGGAUGUUCACACUUUCACAUCAGCUUCAAACACAUCAAAACUCACAGACGCUUUAUUGUCACUUUUCUUCUGGCUCUGAUGCGUCUUCGUACCUAUUUCUGUCUCUAUUACGACGACUGCUUCAAGUGUGUUUCUUCGUCAUGUCACGAUCAAGGCUUGUCAGGCUGGACAAGAAGAAAACAAGCAUCUUCUUACAGCUCCAAACACUUCUCAGGGGGCUAACCCUAUUGGCUGGCUUUGUGUUUUAACCCUCAACGGGGGCCGAUUGGAAGACAGCCGAGGGUUGUGACCCCGUCAUAUGUGUCGCCUUCAAAGAUCUGCUGGAGAUGCUGCAACAUCAUGUACAUUUUUAUAUACUUUGUUGUGAAUUCACUGCUUUGUGUCAUUAUUAUCAA